UGGAUUAAAGCUCUUGAUUCCAGAAUUAAUAUUUAGAAUUGAAUUUGUAUUAACUUCUGCAAGAUUUGGACAUGUUAUGUUCCUGGAAAUUGUUUAUGAGCCAACCUUGAAGUGUGAUGCAGGGAAUGGAGAAUUUCCCACCUACUGCAGCAAAUAUAUUGUCUUCCAUAGCUAAAAUAGAUAGUUUUUUACUGCGAUAGAGUGCAAGUCAGUUGCAUCUGGACUGACCGCAAUGGACUUUAGGCGAGUAUGUUGUGGUGGAUUACCUAUCGUGAAAGUAUCGUUUGUGCGGUUUCAUUAAUUGGAGUAUGUCAUCAUCAUCUAAUAGAUUAUGGAAAAACUGAACAAAAAACCUCUCGCAAUGCGGCUGAAAGUGUGAAGAGUCCACGCAAGAGUGGUGCGCGGUUCCAGAGACCGUGCUAGUGGCUCCAAGAUUAAGGCGGUCCUCUGGAAGCACACGUUAGUGCUAAGCAUUUCAUUUAAAUUUGUUCUUAUUUAUUUCAAAUUCAGUAAUAUUGCAACAAGAGUUUGAUUUUCAUGAUUUUUUUGGUGAUAUGAAGUUAUUCGGAGCGGUCUGCGGAAUUUUUUAGUAGUUGAAGCUGAUACGUGGGGCCAUUUGUUAUCAUAGACUGCAGAGUAUCCAAACGUGGCUGUUUUCGGACCAAAUGUUACAAUUGAUUCCAGUAGAAGCUGCAAGUUGGUUUUGAAGGAUCGACCUUUAGUUUUUCUACUCUUUGUGAUGUGGCUG